GAUGAACGCUAGCUACAGGCUUAACACAUGCAAGUCGAGGGGAAACGGCAUUUAGUGCUUGCACCGAAUGGACGUCGACCGGCGCACGGGUGAGUAACGCGUAUCCAACCUUCCCAUUACUGUGGGAUAACCUGCCGAAAGGCAGACUAAUACCGCAUAGUCUUCGUUGACGGCAUCAGAUAUGAAGUAAAGAUUUAUCGGUAAGGGAUGGGGAUGCGUCUGAUUAGCUAGUUGGCGGGGCAACGGCCCACCAAGGCGACGAUCAGUAGGGGUUCUGAGAGGAAGGUCCCCCACAUUGGAACUGAGACACGGUCCAAACUCCUACGGGAGGCAGCAGUGAGGAAUAUUGGUCAAUGGACGCAAGUCUGAACCAGCCAAGUAGCGUGCAGGAUGACGGCCCUAUGGGUUGUAAACUGCUUUUAUGUGGGAAUAAAUUGGCGCACGUGUGCGCCAUUGCAUGUACCUCAUGAAUAAGGACCGGCUAAUUCCGUGCCAGCAGCCGCGGUAAUACGGAAGGUCCGGGCGUUAUCCGGAUUUAUUGGGUUUAAAGGGAGUGUAGGCGGUCUGUUAAGCGUGUUGUGAAAUUUAGGUGCUCAACAUUUAACUUGCAGCGCGAACUGUCAGACUUGAGUACACGCAGCGCAGGCGGAAUUCAUGGUGUAGCGGUGAAAUGCUUAGAUAUCAUGAGGAACUCCGAUCGCGAAGGCAGCCUGCGGGAGUGUUACUGACGCUUAAGCUCGAAGGUGCGGGUAUCGAACAGG
rnacentral:rRNA from 1 species